UUGAAAGGGAAACGAUUGAAGUNGNCGUNNNCUGGNUGUUCGCUUUUCGNNGUGCAUUUGNGGGCAUAUGACAUCUUCAUUGUUUGCAAUAUGUAUAUUUCUUUGGGGUACUUUUUCGUUCGGUAGGAUAGCCUCUCCUUUGGCCGCCAUAAAAUGACCGGAGUAAUGUAGCUUCAGNUUCGGUUGAAGUGUUAUAGCCUUUGNCAGAUGUGGUGAUUANNACUGAGGAUUGCAACGAAUACCUUUUAUGCUAUCCGUCUGACCUCUGAAAGUUACUUAGNNGCCGAAAGCUUGCUUACGGCCAUUUAAGUUGACGGUCAAUAGGUUAGAACGUGAUUACAUUCGUUAAGGAUGUUGACGUA
rnacentral:rRNA from 1 species